UUUCCGGAAGAAGAUGCAGAAGAAGGGGAAAAAAGAACAAUGAAAUCCUCCUUGCAUGGACCAGGUCUGUCAUAAAUCAUAUGUGGUUUUCCUGUGCAACCAGUAAGGGGGACGUCGAGGUACUGAAAUGCCGGUGGAAGUCCAUUCUACACCAUAUAUUAAACAUAAUAUUAUAUUACUAUUAUAAUGUUAGUUCCUGCACUACAAUGGUACCACACUGCCCAUAGCUGUACAUAUCUUAUCUAUAUGGUUCUUGCUGAAUAUGAAUAUUAAUUGUGUUUUUCUUAUAAUAUAUUCUGUUUAUACACUACAUCAAUAUUAUUUAUACUACUAUUAGGUUACUGCUACUAAAUCGCACAUAUCUGUACAUGUUGUUCAUACAUGCUUCAUAUUACAAAUCCAUAUUUUUUCUGCUCUUACAAGGUAACAGCUAAUAAACUGCACACAUAUAUGCACUGGUAUGUGUAAAUA